rnacentral:rRNA from 1 species
AGCGAACGCUGGCGGCAGGCCUAACACAUGCAAGUCGAACGAACCCUUCGGGGUUAGUGGCGGACGGGUGAGUAACACGUGGGAACGUGCCUUUAGGUUCGGAAUAACUCAGGGAAACUUGUGCUAAUACCGAAUGUGCCCUUCGGGGGAAAGACUUAUCGCCUUUAGAGCGGCCCGCGUCUGAUUAGCUAGUUGGUGAGGUAAUGGCUCACCAAGGCUACGAUCAGUAGCUGGUCUGAGAGGAUGACCAGCCACAUUGGGACUGAGACACGGCCCAAACUCCUACGGGAGGCAGCAGUGGGGAAUCUUGCGCAAUGGGCGAAAGCCUGACGCAGCCAUGCCGCGUGGAUGAUGAAGGUCUUAGGAUUGUAAAAUCCUUUCACCGGUGAAGAUAAUGACUGUAGUCGGAAAAUAAGCCCCGGCUAACUUCGUGCCAGCCGCCGCAGUAAAAC